CUGCGGCCUAUCAGCUUGUUGGUGAGGUAAUGGCCCACCAAGGCUAUAACAGGUACGGGCUCUGAGAGGAGUAGCCCGGAGAUGGGUACUGAGACAAGGACCCAGGUCCUAUGGGACGCAGCAGGCGAGGAAACUUUGCAAUGUGCGAAAGCACGACAAGGUUAAUCCGAGUGUUUCCUGCUAAAGGAAUCUUUUGUUAGUCGUAGAAUCACUGACGAAUAAGGGGUGGGCAAGUUCUGGUGUCAGCCGCCGCGGUAAAACCAGCACCUCAAGUGGUCAGGAGGAUUAUUGGGCCUAAAGCAUCCGUAGCCUGUUUUGUAAGUCUUCGGUUAAAUCCACAUGCUUAACAUGUGGGCUGCCGGAGAUACUGCAAAACUAGGGAGUGGGAGAGGUAGACGGUACUUGAUAGGAAGGGGUAAAAUCCUUUGAUCUAUUGAUGACCACCUGUGGCGAAGGCGGUCUACCAGAACACGU
rnacentral:rRNA from 2 species